AUGGCGGCGGGAAGCGAAGGCUGCGUGCUGCGGCGCGGCUUGAUGGGAGCUGUAGUUCCCGCCGCACCUCUAAAAAGGCUGGGCAUAGGCAGACGCUGUCCUGCGUGAUCAUUUGAUUGCUGCUUCUUCUCAAGGUCAUAUGGAGCUACUGAAUUGGGCAAAACAACUGCAGGAGAACUCGGAGUUCAGUCCUGAUGAAAUCCUGAAUCUGCCAGAAAAGUCAGGAAGGUGCCGAAAGUAUUACUGGGUCAUUUCUUCACAGGAGAAGGAUCUUCCCAGCUCACUGAUGCUCUUCUUAGUUUAAC